AGCAAAGUAAGCUAAGUCUAAGCUAUUGGGCCCAUGCCCCAAAAAUGUGGGUUAAAUUCCCUCCUUUUCUG
rnacentral:tRNA from 1 species